UACGGAGGGUGCAAGCGUUGUUCGGAUUUACUGGGCGUAAAGGGCGUGUAGGCGGAUGCGCAAGCUGGGGGUGAAAGGCCUGGGCUCAACCCGGGAGGGUCUCCCAGAACUGCGUGUCUAGAGACAGUCAGAGGCAGGUGGAAUUCCUGGUGUAGAGGUGAAAUUCGUAGAGAUCAGGAGGAACACCGGCGGCGAAGGCGGCCUGCUGGGACUGUUCUGACGCUGAGGCGCGAAAGCGUGGGGAGCAAACAGG
rnacentral:misc_RNA from 1 species